rnacentral:rRNA from 1 species
CUCUUCGGGGAUGAUUAAACCGGCGCACGGGUGAGUAACACGUGAGUGACCUGCCUUUUAGACUGGAACAACUUACCGAAAGGUGAGCUAAUGCCGGAUGAGUUAUAUAAGUGCAUGUUUAUAUAGGAAAAGUUGGGGAGACCUGACGCUGAAAGAUGGACUCGCGUCCCAUUAGCUAGUUGGUAGGGUAAUGGCCUACCAAGGCGACGAUGGGUAGCCGGCCUGAGAGGGUGGCCGGCCACACUGGGACUGAGACACGGCCCAGACUCCUACGGGAGGCAGCAGUGGGGAAUUUUGCGCAAUGCUCGUAAGAGUGACGCAGCGACGCCGCGUGAAUGACGAAGGCCUUCGGGUCGUAAAGUUCUUUCGACAGGGAAGAAAAUGCCUAUAAGUAACUGUGUAUGUAUUGACGGUACCUGUAUAAGCAGCCCCGGCUAACUCCGUGCCAGCAGCCGCGGUAAUACGGAGGGGGCGAGCGUUGUUCGGAGUGACUGGGCGUAAAGAGCACGUAGGCGGUGUUGUAAGUCAUUAGUCAAAGACUAGAGCUCAACUUUAGUAAGGCUAGUGAUACUAUAAUACUAGAGUAUCAGAGAGGAUUGCAGAAUUCCUGGUGUAGCGGUGAAAUGCGUAGAUAUCAGGAGGAAUACCGUUAGCGAAGGCGGCAAUCUGGCUGGAAACUGACGCUGAGGUGCGAAAGCGUGGGUAGCAAACAGGAUUAGAUACCCUGGUAGUCCACGCUGUAAACGAUGGAUGCUAGGUGUUGGGCUUUUAAGUUCAGUGCCGCAGCAAACGCGAUAAGCAUCCCGCCUGGGGAGUACGUUUGCAAGAAUGAAACUCAAA